ensembl:lncRNA
AUUAAGUCGUAUUGAGUCCCAGCUGGGAAAAGGAGAAAUCCACAAGAUGGAGAAGGCUUGUGGUGGAGGAAGAACCGUAAAGUACUUAGAGAGUAUAAGAAGGUAAGAAUUGUGAGGAAAUGGAAAACAGAGCCAGAGGAAGAAUGACCACAGAGCAAAGUGGGAAGGGUAAAGCACAAAGGUACCUGGGUUGUGCCUUCUGCUUGUUCUCGGGAUGCUCUCCCUGUGCCUCAUUUAUGAGAGAACACAGUUCUGCCUUAUGUAAGGUUUCUUUCUUGAUGGAAAGGAGCAACACAACUUCGGGGAUUUUCUCAUCUUCUUGGUCCAUCCUUUAAGUCCUCUGGGAAGGCCCCAGCUGGGGAAAGGCCUGCUCUCAGCUGACAAACACCUGGAGAAUAGGUUGUCCUUUAUGUUCUAAUUGGUGCUGCUCUUGUAAGUGUGUCUGCUUGCUGAGUAAAUGCAGGGGAAACCUCUGUCCUGUAUGUAUGCUUUGUCCAGUGUGGCUGUCAUCGGAAGUGUCCUGGAGAGAAGGGCAGUCCAGUGACUCUUCUGCUUCCUUUUGACUAGCCUCAUUAUUAUAGGCAGACAUUAGACCCUUGGAAGAUGAGGAGACCAAUGUGUCUAUGGUGUUCUCACUUCUACUUCUCUUUAGUCCUAAAGGGAAAUCAGUGCCAUCACCAGGGGUAGGGAAUGUUUGCCAUAACUGGACAAACUUGCUGACCUUGGGAUCUGCAGCAAUGCCCAUAGAGAGCCUGCCCUUACAGUAUGCAAUGGGAUGCCACGGUCUGGUAAUAUUUUCUUUGAUGUAUCUAUAAUAUCUUAGGCUCAAAACCCAAAAUAUCCAAUUGCUUCCACAUUAGCAGUGUCUGGCAUGAGGGGGAUCAGUUCCUCCAAGGAUUUGGGAACCAAUUCCAGUCUUCAUUGACCAGGGGUACAUCACUACUUCUAUGACUAUCAGCCCAUAUCUGGGGUUGACUGCCAUUAAGAUGCUACACAGAUCUCCAGCUCUUCGGACACCCAACAGUGGGCAGGAUACGCACCGGCCACAACAUAUCUUCUCACCUUUUUAUAACAACUGAGUCAAAUCCUACAACAGUGAAUUAUAAGCCUACUCCUUAACUCAAAUAUUGUUCUUUGGACCAUUACAACAUUUGCCUAGGCUGUAAUGAUAGGCAUCAAAAUUGUGAACACCGUAGUGCCAGCUCAUCAUUUGCUCAGGUUCAACUUUGGUAGGAAAGGCCAAAGUUGAUGAUUUUGACUUUUCCGUUCUUGUGUAACAAAAUAUCACUCGAUUUCAAGUCUCCGUGAACUACACUGUGCCCAUCCCAGUAUAUCGAGUCUGCUAAUAUUUGCCUAAAUAUUUCCCUGACCUUGUCUUCCUCGAGGUGGCAAGACUUCAGAUGAAUUUGUAAAGCUAUAGAAUUUCAACUAGCUCCAUGAGAAGGUAUAGAUGUGUCUCAGACUCAAUUACUUGGUGAAGCAAUAUGAUAUUGGGGUGGAUGUAUAUCUUCAUUAUAUUGGCCAUGCUCUUGUCUGACUGUCACCCUUGCUGCUUCUUUGCAUGCACUUUGAUAACCACAGUAGCAGGACUUUCACUGUCCCAGUCACUGCACUAUCCUAAGACCUCCCUUGUCACAGGACCUCCACUGUGGUAGUACCGCAGCUGUCAGGAAACUCCACAGUCUCAUUACCUCCAAACUGCAAGAUCUCUACUGGCACAGGAAUUGUACUGCCCCUGGACUUCCACUGUCACAGCACUUCAACUGUUACAAGGACCUCUACUGUUGUAAGACCUCCUAUAUCACAGCACCUCCACGGUGACAAGGACCUGCAUUGUCAAAAGACCUCCAGUGUCUCAGUCCCUCCACUGAUUCAGGACUUUCAAAUUGCAGGAACUCUACUAGCACAGGUCAUCCACAGUUGCAGUUCCUCAACUAUUAUAAGGACCUCCAUUGUUGCAGAACCUUCAGUGUCCCUGCACCUUCACAGUCUCAGCAACUCCAACUUGCAGGACCUCUACUAGCACAGGAUGUCCACAGUAGGUAUACUUACACUGUUGCAUUACCUCAAUUGUUGCAGGACCUCCGAUGUGGUAGGACAUCCACAUUUUCAGCAGCUAGACUUUUGCAGGACCUCUACUGGCCCAAAAAAAUUCCUCUGUUCUGGACCUCCACUGACAGUGCAAAUGCACUGUCUCAGGACCUCCACUGUUGCAAGACCUCCGAUGUUGAAGGAUGUCCAUUGUUUUAGGACAUUCCCUGUCAAAGAACCUCAACUGACACACAACCUCUGCUUUUGUAGGAUUUUCACUGUCCUAGAAAACCAAGUAUUGCAGGAAUUAUCAACUUGGAGCAACUGCAUUGUAUUAGGACAUUUACUGUUGCAGGACCUGCAGUGUGGUUCCACCUCCAUUUUAGCCAGGUCUCAACUGUACCUGGCUCAUCUCUGCUGAAUCAGCUCCUCCAACACUGCAGAACAUCCAAUAUUUCAGGUCCUCAAACAUCCCAGGACCCCAAUUGAUGGAGGACUUCCAACGUUGCAGGACCACAAUAGUCACAGGUCCUCCACUGUCCCAUCACUUUUAUUUCUCCCAGCACCUCCACUCUCACAUGGCCUACAAUGUUGCCUAACCUCUAAUGUCUGAGCAACUACACUGUCUCAGGACCUCGAUUGUUCCAGAACCUCCAAUGGUGCAGGACCUCCACUGUCACCAGAUCUCCACUGUCUCAGAACAUCCACUCUAUCACCGACUAGACUUUUGUAGAACCUCUCCUGGCAAAGCAUCUCCAUUGUUGCCAGCCUUACAUUGUCUCAAAACCUCCACUAUCACAGGAGUGCCACUGUUGUAGAACCUCCACCGUAAUAGACCUCCACUGUUGGAGGACCUCCCCUGUCUAAACACAUCCACUAUUGCAGGACCUCCACUGUCCAAGGAAUUCCGCUGUUCCAGGACAUCCACUCUUGCAGCACCUGCAUUGUCUCUGGACUUCCACUGUACCAGUCCCAUCUCCAAUGUCUCAGGACCUCCACUCUUACAGGACCUCCAAUGUUCACAACCUCAAAUACAAAACUGCACUAUCCCAGUGCCUCCACAGUUGCAGGCCCCAAACUGUCACAGGAUCUGCACUGUUUCAUUAAUUCCCC